UACGGAGGGAGCUAGCGUUGUUCGGAUAUACUGGGCGUAAAGCGCACGUAGGCGGCGCAGCAAGUCAGGGGUGAAAUCCCGGAGCUCAACUCCGGAACUGCCUUUGAAACUGCAGUGCUAGAAUCCUGGAGAGGCGAGUGGAAUUCCGAGUGUAGAGGUGAAAUUCGAUAGAUAUUCGGAAGAACACCAGUGGCGAAGGCGACUCGCUGGACAGGUAUUGACGCUGAGGUGCGAAAGCGUGGGGAGCAAACAGGG
rnacentral:rRNA from 1 species